rnacentral:rRNA from 1 species
UACGGAAGGCAGCAGGGGGAAUAUUGCACAAUGGGCGAAAGCCUGAUGCAGCUAUGCCGCGUGUAUGAAGAAGGCCUUAGGGUUGUAAAGUACUUUCAUCGGGGAGGAAAAACAAAACUAAUAAUUUUAUUUCUUGACGUUACCCGAAAAAGAAGCACCGGCUAACUCCGUGCCAGCAGCCGCGGUAAUACGGAGGGUGCUAGCGUUAAUCAGAAUUACUGGGCGUAAAGAGCACGUAGGUGGUUUUUUUAAGUCAGAUGUGAAAUCCCUGGGCUUAACCUAGGAACUGCAUUUUGAAACUGAAAUACUAGAGUAUCGUAGAGGGAGGUAGAAUUCUAGGUGUAGCGGUGAAAUGCGUAGAUAUCUGGAGGAAUACCUGUGGCGAAAGCGGCCUCCUAAACGAAUACUGACACUGAGGUGCGAAAGCGUGGGGAGCAAACGAGGGAUUAGAUACC